rfam:Felis catus isolate Cinnamon breed Abyssinian chromosome X, whole genome shotgun sequence.
AGAUUAGAGGGUGAUCUGGCUGUAACAUAUACCACCCCACUGAUUACCAGGGGUGAUUCAGCUGAUCUGACUGGCUAGGCUAGACAGGUGCCCUCUUCCUCUUUUAGUACUUCAUGUGUGUCCCUCGCAAAGCUGUGUACUCAAAGAGGAUGGAGGACAACCAUUCUUCAAAGGUCACUGCAUCCCCUUAAUUGAACAUCCAAAGAAUCUCUCAAGCCCAUUUGUAAAAGAGUAUAAAUAAGGUAGUGAAGCUUAUAAGACUUCAGAUACAAGCAAAUGAGGUGCUCCAUGUAGCAGUCUCCCUUCAGAA